GCAUGCAGUCGAGCGACGCAUACCGGAGGGGUAACCCACUGGUAUGACGGAGCGGCGAACGGGUGAGUAACACGUGAGUAACCUGCCCCACAGACCGGGACAGCCCAGGGAAACCUGGAUUAAUACCGGAUACCCUCGAAGGAUCGCAUGAUCUUUCGAGGAAAUGCCUUUGUGCUGUGGGAUGGGCUCGCGACUUAUCAGCUAGUUGGUGGGGUAACGGCCUACCAAGGCGUCGACGAGUAGCUGGUCUGAGAGGACGAUCAGCCACACUGGGACUGAGACACGGCCCAGACUCCUACGGGAGGCAGCAGCAGGGAAUUUUGCACAAUGGGCGAAAGCCUGAUGCAGCGACGCCGCGUGGGGGAUGAAUGCCUUCGGGUUGUAAACCCCUUUCAGGAGGGACGAAGCGAAAGUGACGGUACCUCCAGAAGAAGCCCCGGCCAACUACGUGCCAGCAGCCGCGGUAAUACGUAGGGGGCGAGCGUUGUCCGGAUUUAUUGGGCGUAAAGAGCUCGUAGGCGGCUCAGCAAGUCGGCCGUGAAAACCUGAGGCUCAACCUCAGGACGCCGGUCGAAACUGCUGUGGCUAGGGUUCGGUAGAGGAGAGUGGAAUUCCCGGUGUAGCGGUGAAAUGCGCAGAUAUCGGG
rnacentral:rRNA from 1 species